rnacentral:rRNA from 1 species
UAUUGCACAAUGGGCGCAAGCCUGAUGCAGCGACGCCGCGUGGGGGAUGACGGCCUUCGGGUUGUAAACCUCUUUCGCUAGGGACGAAGCCAUCCUUUGGGGGUGGUGACGGUACCUGGGUAAGAAGCACCGGCUAACUACGUGCCAGCAGCCGCGGUAAUACGUAGGGUGCGAGCGUUGUCCGGAAUUACUGGGCGUAAAGAGCUCGUAGGUGGUUUGUCGCGUCGUCUGUGAAAUUCCGGGGCUUAACUCCGGGCGUGCAGGCGAUACGGGCAAUACUUGAGUGCUGUAGGGGAGACUGGAAUUCCUGGUGUAGCGGUGAAAUGCGCAGAUAUCAGGAGGAACACCAAUGGCGAAGGCAGGUCUCUGGGCAGUAACUGACGCUGAGGAGCGAAAGCAUGGGUAGCGAACAG